UCUUGGUCAUUUAGAGGAAGUAAAAGUCGUAACAAGGUUUCCGUAGGUGAACCUGCGGAAGGAUCAUUAAUGAUUGCGAAUGGUUGCCUUCGGUGCUGGCUCUUGCAAGUGCACGUUGGUGGCUUUCAUCCAAUACCCUUUGUGAACCUUUGGCCUCUUGCUAGCUUCGGCUGGCAGAGGAUUUUUACACACACUCGAAUGUAAUGAAAACUAUUGUCGUGCGCAAGCACUAAUGUACAACUUUCAACAACGGAUCUCUUGGCUCUCGCAUCGAUGAAGAACGCAGCGAAAUGCGAUAAGUAAUGUGAAUUGCAGAAUUCAGUGAAUCAUCGAAUCUUUGAACGCACCUUGCACCCUUUGGCAUUCCGAAGGGUAUGCUCGUUUGAGUGUCAUUGUACUCUCACACUCUCCGAUCCUAUGGAUUCGGGGAGCGGUGGACUUGGGUGUUGCUGCUUUCCUUGUGGCUCACCUCAAAUGCGUCAGUACACCUCUUGGUUGGACAUAGUACGGCGUGAUAAGUGUCUUCGCCGGCACCUCGCAAGAGGGUGGCCGAUCUGGGAGCUCUGUGCUUUCAAACCGUCUUCGGACAAUUUCUGACAACUUGACCUCAAAUCGAGUAGGACUACCCGCUGAACUUAAGCWUAYCWAUAAGCGGAGKA
rnacentral:rRNA from 1 species